AGGAAGUGCGGCUGAAGGACUGGUCAAUGAAGACACCCUCAAGUUAUUGAUAAGGGAGCCCAAAGUAACUGCAGAAUUUGGCCCUCUCCCUGCAAGUAUCUUCAAAAUGCCCACAGCCAUGUUGACCACAGCCAAGCUAUGAUGUCAUGCCUGGAAAAAGUGAACACCUCACAGCCCAAUCUUGGACAUGUUUGUUGUUGCAACCCCAUUCUGGUUAUACGGUAGCACCUCAGAGUUACGAGCUGACCGGUCAACCACACACCUCGUUUGGAACUGGAAGUACGCAAUCAGGCAGCAGCAGAGACGGAAAAAAAAAGCAGCAAAUACAGGUCAGUGCUGUGUUAAACGGA